ACUCCUACGGGAGGCAGCAGACACGCCGCGUGAGUGAUGAAGGUUUUCGGAUCGUAAAGCUCUGUUGUUAGGGAAGAACAAGUACCGUUCGAAUAGGGCGGUACCUUGACGGUACCUAACCAGAAAGCCACGGCUAACUACGUGCCAGCAGCCGCGGUAAUACGUAGGUGGCAAGCGUUGUCCGGAAUUAUUGGGCGUAAAGCCAGCAGCCGCGGUA
rnacentral:rRNA from 1 species